CUUCCUGGAUGGUGUGUUAACUGUUUAUCAGCAUGUGAAAUCCACAUGAUUGAAGGAGAAGUCUCCCUUGUUAAAGAUCAGCAACAGCAGAUAAACAAUGCAUGAUGCAAUCUGCUCACUAAAAAGAUUACACUAAUACAUCCCAUGCAUGUAUUUCUACCUAUCAUCUAUGUAACCUUUGUCAUGCUCUUCAGAGAGUCAUUGACAGGAAAAGGAAUUGCCGGUAAGUUGACAGGACUUUCCACACUGUUUCUGGUAGCAGCUUAUGAUUGAAUUGAUGGUAGAAGACAUGGCCCACUAAAUCAAAGAUAAUCCGUAUAGAGUGGCACCUUAACCACCACUGGUGAAAUAGAAGAUGACUAGUAGAUGGUCAUCACUUUGCAGCUCACUUUCACUUUCUGCAGCCCAUCUCUUCUCAUCCACAAUCAUUGUCUUUGGAGGAAUGGUGACAGUGCAGUCCUCAUGGCUGGGCAGGUCUACUGCAUGUUGACAGCUGAUACUUGUUCUCUAUUUGCUCUGAGAGGCUUACUACACAUUACCUCAGUUAUGACUGUACUUGUGCUGGCUUCUAUGAUGUUAAUUUCCUUUACCUGCACUGCGUUAAACUUGAUCAAUUCUGUUAC